UACGUAGGGGGCAAGCGUUGUCCGGAUUUAUUGGGCGUAAAGAGCUCGUAGGCGGUCUGUCGCGUCGAUCGUGAAAACUUGGGGCUUAACCCUGAGCUUGCGGUCGAUACGGGCAUGACUGGAGUUCGGCAGGGGAGACUGGAAUUCCUGGUGUAGCGGUGAAAUGCGCAGAUAUCAGGAGGAACACCGGUGGCGAAGGCGGGUCUCUGGGCCGAUACUGACGCUGAGGAGCGAAAGCGUGGGGGAGCGAACAGG
rnacentral:rRNA from 1 species